GACGAACGCUGGCGGCGUGCCUAAUACAUGCAAGUAGGACGCAGUUGCGAAUGGGUGAGUAACGCGUAGGUAACUGCCUAUUAGAGGGGGAUAACUAUUGGAAACGAUAGCUAAUACCGCAUACUAGUAGAUGGACCUGCGUUGUAUUAGCUAGUAGGUUGGGUAAUGGCCUCCCUAGGCGACGAUACAUAGCCAGGCUUGGAGGGAGUACGGCCAAACUGGGAAUGGGGAACGGGCCAGAAUCCUACUGGAGGCAGCAGUCGGGAAUCAUUGGCCAAUGGGGGAACCCUGACCGCGCAAAGCCGGGGGAGUGGAGAAGGUUUUCGGAUCUUAAAGCGCUUUUGUUAAGGAAGCGGUACUUAACCAGAAAGGGACGGCUAACUACGUGCCAGCAGCCGCGGUAAUAC
rnacentral:rRNA from 1 species